CUGUCGUUCUCUAAACUGAAUCAAGAAUAUUAUCCCUAAUUGACAUCAACCUAAACAAACCUUCUUCUCUCCUCUCUUCAUCCUGUCUUCAUCAUCCAAAAGCUUCUUUCCGAAACAUCUCUUUUCCAUUUUAUUGAGAUUUGAGGAAGAAGGAAUUCCGAGAAAUACAAAUCUUUAUGUAAUGGAGAUUUGAGGAAGGAGAUAUUGAAAAAUUGAGAGACUAAUGGUGGAGGAUUGGCGAAAUGGGUUUCAAGAGGUGAGGAAUUUGAAGCCUCUGUUCGUGACGAUCUAUGCGAUGAUCUGCAAAGUUCGAUUUCAAAAUCCAGAUCUGCAAAAGAUGUGGACGGGUAGCGUGUGGAUGGGGGUUGCGUGGAUAGGUGGUGUGUGGAUAACUGGAGCGUGGAUGGUUGAAUAGAUCUCUGGUGACUAGUGGGUGGCUUCUAGUGGUGUCUUGUUUGGUGAAGUUGUUGCAAGUGAGCCGUCCACAUACAAUGUUUUUCUUCUAUGUUAUUGAUUUGAUACCCAUAUUCCGCUCUUAUUGAUUCAGUUAAGAGGUGAUGUAAAAUAUGUUCCUUUUUUCUUGUGCUUCUUGUUUCGUUGGUUCUUGUUGUACGGAUAUAAUGAAUGAUCGUCGCAAAUUAUUGAUUUAUUAAUGUAAUUUGUUUUUGCUAAUCAACAAAAAUAGUUUCA